ACAUGAGACUUUGACAGUUGGCGGGAAACCAUCAUCAACUGGAGAGAUGCCGGUGGAAAGAUGGCCAUAAAACAGUGACCGCUACGGUGGCAUAGAGAGAGAGAGCAAAAGUCAAGACUUCCCAACAAACUUUCACCACAAGCAACAGGAAGCAAAUAGUCCAGGCAACAAUAUACGUCAAGUCCCAGUGUAGCGUUCGCGCUGGCAGAUCCACCACCGAUAUUAUCUUCACAAUACAACAGCUUCAAGAAAAGUGCAGAAAACAAGUGUAGCAAUGAUGAACUUGCAGCAGACGAAUAAAACGUGUUCCGGAAAUGGUUAAAAAACUGUACAUCAAUUACAAGAUGUAAUGCAUAAAGCAAAAAAAGAAAUGGCAUAACAAUUUAGUUUUAUCAUUCAAAGAACAAUAAAUGAGAGGUUGCUUGUCUGUUUCAUGCAAUGUCUGUAUAAUUCAGCCAAACGACAUCAAUCUCUUGCACAACGGUUGAACAUAUCCAACAUUUUGCAUCAUCAUCGUUUCUGUCAUCGCGCUAAUCAGCAGCGUAUGCUGAACGUCUGCUUAGCAAAGAAAGCCACAGUUGACCAAAAUUCUCGUAUGCUCCUGCGUAUUCAUGUAAUUAAUGUGUUUAUUCAGAAAUGAUUACUCUGCAAAUACAAUGCGACCUCACCAUACGGAUAGCCCUGAGUGCCCCAUGUAAAGUAUAUCUGUAUGACAUGGUUAUCAAUAUAUCGCAUUAUGUUGUGUAACUGGAGAGUCAUGAUAAAGCAAGAAAAUAAGAAGAACGACGUAAGAUAUGUCUCUACUAACAAGGACAUCAAUAACAACACAAGAACAAACAUCAGUCACGAUAUCAGGUCACGAUUUUAAAAUUGUGUUUGUAUCACGAAUAGUGUACCGAUUUCAAGAGAAGGCGCUGAAAGUUCUAGACCAAUGGAACACUUAGUUGCUAUCUUCGUCAACUUCUGAAAAGCCCCAUUUACAAUCUCUAGUCUUUUAUCGAAAGAACUGAGAGCUAACCUCAAGCUCUGCGGAAAGACGAUGAAAGCCGACAAAACAACCGUAAAUUGGCGUGAGAUUUCAUAGGCGAGUCACACGGAAACAACAGACUGAGAUAGUCGAAGCUUGAACCAAACAGCUGUUAGCACUCAUGAAAAACUAACCAGCAGAACAUAGUUGGCAGAUGCAUCGAUCACCAAGAAUGUGUAUGUGAGUGGUGGCAGACAAGUACUUGGGUGUAGAGUUACGGUAUAUGGGACUGCAGCAUAUUAUAACUUUGACAGAAUCAGCAAGGUGUAGAACAUUGCGGUCAAAAUCUUAACUUGCGCCUCGCGGUCAACCCAUAUUCAAUAGUUUGAAACCACCUCGGGCUUUGACGCUACUGAAUACAGAUGGGACACAAAACUCCUCACAUAGGUCUAUGAGUUAAAACGACUUUCAAAUCAUCCCAAUGAAAAACAAACUGAGCUGUCCACAAAUUGGAAGACUUGAAGAAAGGAUGUCUCAUGCACCAAACGAGGGUAUGGAAGGAAGUGCCAAGAUACAUUGGAUCAUGUUCUCAAAGAUAUUUCCCACUAGAUCAUGUCCCCAAGAAAUUCCCCCAUAAUGCAUGUAUAUACCUUGUAUACAUUGAAUGUAAAACAAUAAUUCACAAUUUAUAUUUAAAUAUUUAAUAAAAUCCACCUUACAA